UACGAAGGGGGCUAGCGUUGUUCGGAUUUACUGGGCGUAAAGCGCACGUAGGCGGAUCGUUAAGUCAGGGGUGAAAGUCCUGGAGCUCAACUCCAGAACUGCCUUUGAUACUGGCGAUCUUGAGUCCGGAAGAGGUGAGUGGAACUCCUAGUGUAGAGGUGGAAUUCGUAGAUAUUGGGAAGAACACCGGUGGCGAAGGCGGCUCACUGGCUCAUUACUGACGCUCAGGCGCGACAGCGUGGGGAGUCAAACAGG
rnacentral:rRNA from 1 species